AUACGGAGGGUGCGAGCGUUAAUCGGAAUUACUGGGCGUAAAGCGUACGUAGGCGGUUUGCUAAGUCAGAUGUGAAAGCCCCGGGCUUAACCUGGGAACUGCAUUUGAUACUGGCAGACUAGAGUAUGCUAGAGGGGGGUAGAAUUCCUGGUGUAGCGGUGAAAUGCGUAGAUAUCAGGAGGAAUACCAGUGGCGAAGGCGGCCCCCUGGAUCAAUACUGACGCUGAGGUACGAAAGCGUGGGGAGCGAACAGAAUUAGAAACCCCAGUAGUCC
rnacentral:rRNA from 1 species